rnacentral:rRNA from 1 species
UUGUUGGGUCUACACAUGCAAGUCGAGCGGUAGCACGGGGAGCUUGCUCCUGGGUGACGAGCGGCGGACGGGUGAGUAAUGUCUGGGGAUCUGCCUGAUGGAGGGGGAUAACUACUGGAAACGGUAGCUAAUACCGCAUAACGUCGCAAGACCAAAGAGGGGGACCUUCGGGCCUCUUGCCAUCAGAUGAACCCAGAUGGGAUUAGCUAGUAGGUGGGGUAAUGGCUCACCUAGGCGACGAUCCCUAGCUGGUCUGAGAGGAUGACCAGCCACACUGGAACUGAGACACGGUCCAGACUCCUACGGGAGGCAGCAGUGGGGAAUAUUGCACAAUGGGCGCAAGCCUGAUGCAGCCAUGCCGCGUGUAUGAAGAAGGCCUUCGGGUUGUAAAGUACUUUCAGCGAGGAGGAAGGCAUUAAGGUUAAUAACCUUGGUGAUUGACGUUACUCGCAGAAGAAGCACCGGCUAACUCCGUGCCAGCAGCCGCGGUAAUACGGAGGGUGCAAGCGUUAAUCGGAAUUACUGGGCGUAAAGCGCACGCAGGCGGUUUGUUAAGUCGGAUGUGAAAUCCCCGGGCUCAACCUGGGAACUGCAUUCGAAACUGGCAAGCUUGAGUCUUGUAGAGGGGGGUAGAAUUCCAGGUGUAGCGGUGAAAUGCGUAGAGAUCUGGAGGAAUACCGGUGGCGAAGGCGGCCCCCUGGACAAAGACUGACGCUCAGGUGCGAAAGCGUGGGGAGCAAACAGGAUUAGAUACCCUGGUAGUCCACGCCGUAAACGAUGUCGACUUGGAGGUUGUGCCCUUGAGGCGUGGCUUCCGGAGCUAACGCGUUAAGUCGACCGCCUGGGGAGUACGGCCGCAAGGUUAAAACUCAAAUGAAUUGACGGGGGCCCGCACAAGCGGUGGAGCAUGUGGUUUAAUUCGAUGCAACGCGAAGAACCUUACCUACUCUUGACAUCCAGAGAACUUUCCAGAGAUGGAUUGGUGCCUUCGGGAACUCUGAGACAGGUGCUGCAUGGCUGUCGUCAGCU